rnacentral:lncRNA from 1 species
UAUAACUAAAUAUUUCAAAUUCUCUUUCUUUAGAAAGAAAUCGAAUGCCGUCUGCAAAAACUGAAGGAAGAACUAGAGAAACUUCUACGACUAAAGCUGGCUGGAGAGGUUAGACAUCAGGAAUCUCUGAAUCAAACAGACACUGAAAGACAAAAAGUGGUGAUGGAAUUUGAGCAAAUGCAUCACUUUUUGGAUGAACAAGAGAAGCUUCUGCUGGCUCAGCUGAAGGAGAUGGAAAGGGAGAUUGUCAAGCAUCAGAAAAUAUAUGACACAAAGGUUUCUGAUGAAAUUGUUGCUCUUACUAUCCUGAUUGAUGAAAUAGAAGAGAAGCUCGAGCAGCCAGACAGUGAAUUCCUUCAGGAUAUCAGAAGCACAUUGUGCAGGUUUGAUAAGGAGCCCUUCCAAGUUCCUGAGGGGAUGCCAGUCAAGAUGGAAAAGAGACUAGAAGAGUUCUCGGAGAAAAAUACGGUGCUUGCAGAAAUGCUGAAGAAUCUCAAAGGUACAAAAAAAA